GGAAAGGUGCAGGAGUGGUUGAUCUGGCUCGCCUGGAAAGCGGGUAUACCGCAAGGUAUCAAGGGUUCGAAUCCCUUCCUUUCCG
rnacentral:tRNA from 1 species